GAUGAACGCUGGCGGCGUGCCUAAUACAUUCAAGUCGAGCGAACAGACGAGGAGCUUGCUCCUCUGACGUUAGCGGCGGACGGGUGAGUAACACGUGGAUAACCUACCUAUAAGACUGGGAUAACUUCGGGAAACCGGAGCUAAUACCGGAUAAUAUAUUGAACCGCAUGGUUCAAUAGUGAAAGACGGUUUUGCUUUCACUUAUAGAUGGAUCCGCGCCGCAUUAGCUAGUUGGUAAGGUAACGGCUUACCAAGGCAACGAUGCGUAGCCGACCUGAGAGGGUGAUCGGCCACACUGGAACUGAGACACGGGCCAGAAUCCUACGGGAGGCAGCAGUAGGGAAUCUUCCGCAAUGGGAGAAAGCUUGACGGAGCAACGACGCGUGAGUGAUGAAGGUCUUCGGAUCGUAAAACUCUGUUAUUAGGGAAGAACAAAUGUGUAAGUAACUAUGCACGUCUUGACGGUACCUAAUCAGAAAGCCACGGCUAACUACGU
rnacentral:rRNA from 1 species